CAGCGCCACGAGUGGCAAUCGUGUAUUUGGCCUAAAGCGUCCGUAGCCGGAUUUGUAAAUCCUUUGUGAAAUCGUUGAGCUCAACUUAACGGCGUGCAGAAGACACUGCGAGUCUUGAGACCGGGAGGAGAUAGAGGUAUUCUAGGGGGAGCGGUAAAAUGCUAUAAUCCCUGGAGGACCACCAGUGGCGAAGGCGUCUAUCCAGAACGGAUCUGACGGUGAGGGACGAAAGCCAGGGGAGCGAACCGGAUUAGAUACCCGAGUAGUCC
rnacentral:rRNA from 1 species